GGUUUUUAGAAAUUAUUAAAAAUCAAACCUGCUCAAUGCUAAGUAAAUAGCCGCGGUAUUUUGACCGUGCAAAGGUAGCAUAAUAAUUAGCCUUAUAAUUGAAGGCUAGAAUGAAUGGUUUAACUGAAUUUUAUUGUCUCAUAAUAAUAUCUUUAAUUUUAUAUUUUAGUAAAAAAGCUAAAAUUUUAUUUAGGGACAAGAAGACCCUAUUGAGCUUUACAAAAAAAGGUAAUCUUUCAAAAAACUAUUUUUUUUUGUUUUACUGGGGCAGUAUAAAAAAUAAAUUUUUAUAUUUAUAUUGUAAAUUAUAAUUUUUGUCAAAUCAAAAAUUUUUUAAAUAAAAAUAAGUUACCGUAGGGAUAACAGCGUAAUUUUUUUUUAGAGAACAUAUUAACAAAAAAGUUUGCGACCUCGAUGUUGGAUUAAGAAUCCUAUUUUAUGCAAAAGUAAAAAAAGGAAGUCUGUUCGACUUUUAAUUUCUUCCA
rnacentral:rRNA from 1 species